rnacentral:rRNA from 1 species
AAUCAACGCUGGCGGCGUGCCUAACACAUGCAAGUCGCACGAGAAAGGGUCUUCGGAUCUGAGUAAAGUGGCGCACGGGUGAGUAACACGUGAAUUAUCUACCUUCGAGUGGGGAAUAGCUUCGGGAAACCGAGGCUAAUACCGCAUAAUAUCUACGGAUCAAAGCAGUAAUGCGCUUGAAGAGGAGUUCGCGGCAGAUUAGUUAGUUGGCGGGGUAAUGGCCCACCAAGACGAUGAUCUGUAUCCGGCCUGAGAGGGCGCACGGACACACUGGAACUGAAACACGGUCCAGACUCCUACGGGAGGCAGCAGUGGGGAAUUUUGCGCAAUGGGGGAAACCCUGACGCAGCAACGCCGCGUGGAGGAUGAAGUCUCUUGGGACGUAAACUCCUUUCGAUAGGGAAGAUUAUGACGGUACCUAUAGAAGAAGCCCCGGCUAACUUCGUGCCAGCAGCCGCAGUAA